rnacentral:rRNA from 1 species
UACGGGGGGGGCAAGCGUUGUUCGGAAUUACUGGGCGUAAAGGGCUCGUAGGCGGCCAACUAAGUCGGACGUGAAAUCCCUCGGCUUAACCGGGGAACUGCGUCCGAUACUGGAUGGCUUGAGUUUGGGAGAGGGAUGCGGAAUUCCAGGUGGUAGCGGUGAAAUGCGUAGAUAUCUGGAGGAACACCGGUGGCGAAGGCGGCAUCCUGGACCAACACUGACGCUGAUGAGCGAAAGCCAGGGGAGCAAACGGGG